GACGAACGCUGGCGGCGUGCUUAACACAUGCAAGUCGAACGGAAAGGCCCUGCUUUUGUGGGGUGCUCGAGUGGCGAACGGGUGAGUAACACGUGAGUAACCUGUCCUUGACUUUGGGAUAACUUCAGGAAACUGGGGCUAAUACCGGAUAGGAGCUCCUGCUGCAUGGUGGGGGUUGGAAAGUUUCGGCGGUUGGGGAUGGACUGGCGGCUUAUCAGCUUGUUGGUGGGGUAGUGGCUUACCAAGGCUUUGACGGGUAGCCGGCCUGAGAGGGUGACCGGCCACAUGGGGACUGAGAUACGGCCCAGACUCCUACGGGAGGCAGCAGUGGGGAAUAUUGCACAAUGGGCGGAAGCCUGAUGCAGCAACGCCGCGUGCGGGAUGACGGCCUUCGGGUUGUAAACCGCUUUCGCCUGUGACGAAGCGUGAGUGACGGUAAUGGGUAAAGAAGCACCGGCUAACUACGUG
rnacentral:rRNA from 1 species